UAAAUCAAAUCUGUAAAUUUUUAAAAUAUUUGAAAAUUAUUUGACAUUUUAUUUCAUUAAUUUAAAUCAAUGUAUAAAAUGAUUUUACGAUUAUCUGUCAAUUUGAAUUAAUAAAAUAAAAUGUCAAAUAAUUUUCAAAUUUUUAAAAAAUUUACAAACUUUAUUUA
rnacentral:miRNA from 1 species